UACGUAGGGGGCAAGCGUUAUCCGGAUUUACUGGGUGUAAAGGGAGCGUAGACGGAAAGGCAAGUCAGAAGUGAAAGCCCAAGGCUCAACCAUGGGACUGCUUUUGAAACUGUCAAACUAGAGUACGGGAGAGGUAAGAGGAAUUCCUAGUGUAGCGGUGAAAUGCGUAGAUAUUAGGAGGAACACCAGUGGCGAAGGCGUCUUACUGGACCGAAACUGACGUUGAGGCUCGAAAGCGUGGGGAGCAA
rnacentral:rRNA from 1 species